rnacentral:rRNA from 1 species
UCGCGGCGGUGUGCGCAGAAGGGUCUGGGCUCGAGCCUGCCUGGAGCCGCCGCCGGUGCAGAUCUUGGUGGUAGUAGCAAAUACUCCAGCGAGGCCCUGGAGGACUGAUGUGGAGAAGGGUUUCGUGUGAACAGCCGUUGCACACGAGUCAGUCGAUCCUAAGCCCUAGGAGAAAUCCGAUGGAAACGGCGAUGGGAAACGCACUCGACUCUAUAUAUAAUGUAUGUUGAAUGAGACAGAGACCCAUUGAUCGGGCGAAAGGGAAUCCGGUUCCUAUUCCGGAACCCGGCAGCGGAACCGUUGUUUGUCGGGCCCUCGCAAGGGGUUCGUCAGGGCAACCUAAAAGGGCCCGGAGACGCCGUCGGGGGCCCCGGAAAGAGUUUUCUUUUCUGUAUGAGCGUUUGAGUUCCCUGGAAUCCUCUCGCAGGGAGAUAGGGAUUGGGACGCGAAGAGCACCGCAGUUGCGGCGGAGCCCGGGAAUUCCCGACGGACCUUGAAAAUCCGGGAGAGGGCCACGUGGAGGUGUCGCGCCGGCUCGUACCCAUAUCCGCAGCAGGUCUCCAAGGUGAAUAGCCUCUAGUC